ensembl:snoRNA SNORA70 Small nucleolar RNA SNORA70
UUGUGGAACAGGAAGAACACUUUUUAAAAAUAUAUGACCCAGUAUGCAAUGGCUGCAAAGAACAGCAUCCUGAAAAGUUUAUGCAGCCAGCUGCUUACAUGGACUACCCUCAGGGAUCCUGGAGUCAGAC